AUACAACCUAGGCUCGCAUGAAGAUUCGCAAAAAUGAUUGGGUGUCACUUCCGGAUUGUCUUUGAGAUUCAGAUCUAAAAUAGCCCAUAAACCUUUUGGAUUUGGGUGGAGGGUGCUAUGGAAGGAAGAGGUGCUCAAGGUGGAGGAUCUUGUGUGAGAGAGGUUCCAGCUAUAGGCAAAUAAUUUUUGUUGGAGGAUACAACCUAGGUUUACAGAAAUGGUUGGGUGUCACUUCCAGAUAGUCUUGAGAUAUAGAUCUCAAAGAGCCUGGAAUCCUUUUAGAUUUAGGUGGAGGGUGUGCCAUUCUGGAAGAGCAAAGGAGUUCUUAGGGGAAGGACAAGUGCAUUAAGGUUGAUGGAAGAAGGUACACAUGGUCCUAUGUCGUGUGGUCUACCGUUCCAUGACCAGGACACGUUGAUGGCCUCGAGUGGUAGAGAGGAUGGAUUGCUGGGCGCGAGGAUGCAUGUAAUAGACAAUAGAAGAUAGUUGGCCGUGCCUUUAGUUAUGCGUGUGGUAGAUAAUGUUGACUCGUGUGUGAUAAGUGAACUUACCCGCCAAGGCUUAGAUAAAGCGCUGAGCCCCGAGUCUCUUGCCUUUGCUAGAGUAGGUUUGUCCUUUGAAAAAAAAUACAUGAGUUUUAGGAUAGUGUGGGAGCUCGUCCAAGGCCAAGGUUCGAUCAACGUUCUUGGGUAGUUUAUCAAGUCCUCAUCGUCUUAGUUGUUUUUUCGUUGCUAUUCCCUCUUAUCCGGUCUCCUUCGGUUAUGCAUAGCCUCCCUACUCAUCCUAUUUUGACUUCUAUUUAGGGUAGCGGCAUGUGGAUAGGAGAAAAUCGUUGUGCUUUGUGAAGGGAUCCUGAUUCGACAACGUAUCUUGCCUAAUUCUAAUUCAUAGCCGUUGAUAGCGGUGGACCAAAUGCACAACUGGUAGGCGUUGACAUCUAUUCAGAUUGCACUUAGAAUCGGGGACAAAUUUCUUGGGCUUCGAGGAUAUCUCCCAAUGCUUAGACCCAUGGGAAGAGCCACUGCUCAUCUCUCCUCUAUCAAUUGAAGAUCCGAGACUUAAGGGGCUAACAUACCAUAAUAAGGAGUUAGUAGUGGCUAAGGUAGGAAAUAAGGAGGGCCAAAUUUUUAGAGGGAGCAGUGUUACUGAAGAAGACCUUGAUUGUUCAGAGACUAUAUCUAGCGAGUUCGGAGCGUAGUAGGGUAACUAUUGAAGGUAGCAAUGAAGAUAUAUUUGUGAUUUUUAAAUCCCUUGGAGAGUGUUGAAAAGAAAACUAGGGAGAAGAUCAGGCACAGAGCAACAAUCGGGUAAGAGAAAACUCCUCAAACUUGUGUCAUCCGUGAACUAUGACAUAUUAGGGGGAUCCAAAGAGGGCAAACUGCUUUUGCUAACUUUUCCAUUAGUAGUGGGUGAGGAAAGGGUUAGGGGAUUAGGGAAGAAAGAAGUUUAACUAAUGAAGCUGAUGUCAUGGAAUGUAUGAGGAUUGGGCUUCCCUUCUAAGAGAGGCAAGGCGAAACAAUUUUAUAGGGCUUAGAAGGCACAGUUGGUCACUUUCUAAGAGACCAAAAAUGCAAGUGUGGGAUAAAGGACUGGUAGUGUCUAUUUGGGCAGGUAUGUCUUUUGAUUGGGUAGCUUCUGACUCAAAUGGGGCCUCAAGUGGGAUGGUUAUCGUUUAGGAUGACAACAAGGUAUUACAAAAGGUCACGUAAUGACUGCAAUGACUAUUAUGUAAUGGUAACGAUAGGAACCAUUAUGCAUUAGGGGCCGUAAUGGCUGUUACUGAAAAAUGACUUAUAUUGGGCCAUCACGGGGCUGGAGUAUUGUGGGGAAGUAUGUUAUGGAAUUUGUAGUGGAGUUUUCAGAUCGUGGUUGCCUUUCGUUGGAGCUGGUGGCAUCUUUUAAUUCUCUUAUAACCAAGACAGAGGGGGCUGGACAUCUUAAAGACUUUAGGCUGAUCAGUCUAAUCAGAGGCCGCUAUAAAAUUCUGGCUAAGAUUCUAGCCCUCAGAUUCAAGGAGCUCAUUUCUAAAGUUAUCUUGGAAAACUAGGGGGGCCUUCGUUAUGGGGCAGGCAAAUUUUGGAUAAUAUUCUUGUGGCCCACGAAUGCAUUGAUUCUAGACAUAGAGAGAAAAAGUGGAGUUGUCUGUAAGCUCGACAUUGAGAAGCCAUAUGAUCAUGUUGAUUGGGAGUUCUUGGAUUACAUGCUCGGCAGGUUGGGAUGCGAUAGUAACUGGAGGGGGUGGAUCAGGUCAUGCUUGCAUUCUGCUUCAUUUUCCAUAUUGCUAAACGACUCGCCUAAAGGAUAUUUCAAAGCUUCUCGUGGCCUAAGACGGAGAUCCGCUUUCUCUUUAUUUGUUUGUGGUUGUAGCUGAGGCCUUCAGCGUGAUGCUUCAAAAAGGAGAGAAGAAUGGGUUAAUCCGCGACUUUCGGAUUGCGGGUCUUCAUACCUCUAUUAGUCAUCUACAAUAUGCAGAUGAUACACUCCUUUUUUGAAAUGCAAAUGUUGAGUCGAGUAAACUUGAGAAUGAUUAUCGUGCGUUUCGAAGCGGCUUCAGAGCUGAAGGUAAAUAUGGGGAAAUUUGGGAUGUUGGGAGUGCGCGUAGAUAAUGAGGUCCCUCUCUAGUCUUGCUAUCACUUUUGGGUGCCAAUCUGGCUCCUUCUCAUUGAUAUACCUCAGCCUGCCUUUGUGUAUGGGGAAGCCGACCAUGCAUCUUUGGACAAGGUCAUCAAAAGGAUAGAGCGUAAGCUUGCUUCUUGGAAGUGUAUAUAUCUCUCUUUUGGCGGUCGUCUAACCCUAAGUAAGGCAAUUUUCUCCAACAUGCCUGUGUACUUCGUGUCUUUAUUCAAAUGUUCGAAAUCGAUUUUGGACAUGCUCGAGAAGUAAAGAAGGGAUUUCCUAUGGAACGGAUCUAAUGAUGGGAGAAAGUUUCAUCUUCUAAGCUUCUAUGAACAUGGCUCUCCUUGGGAAAUGUAUUUGGAGAUUUAGUACAGAAGAAGACAUAUUCUGGAGAAAUUUGAUUGCUACUAAGUACGGAUUGCAGGAGGGUGUCUGGUUUACAAAAAACCUCCUCUUUAUAUAGAGCUUGAGGUGCUUGGAAAGCGAUCGCGUCCAUGCAACAUCUUGUGUUGUGAGUAGGCGCAUCUCCUUCAUGGUAGGAAGAGGAUCUCGUAUACGGUUUUGCGUGGAUGUGUGGUGCGGUUCUCAGCCGCUUCAAGACUUGUUCCCAAGGGUUGUUAGGCUCUCUCCCGAUAUAUUUGUUCGUGUGGUGGAAUGAUUCUUGUGGGAUGGGGAGAAGGUUGUGUGGGCUCCCCCUUGCCGCAAAAAUCUCGAGGAUUGAAUUUGACGAGUUUCUCACAUUGCUUGGUGUUCUUCAAUCGGAGAAACCGGAUGUGAUUGAAGAAGACAUAAUCAUUUGGAUAGGAAAUAGAUCCAGGAGGUUUUCAGUUAGAUCCCUUUUAAAAAAUUUCCUCCAUGUUGCCUCGUAAUUUGGAUCCGACUCAUCCUUUCCACCAUUGGUUCUACGGAGCAGCCCCCUCCCCCUCCCCCCCCCCCCCCUCGGGUUGUGGCUUUUGUCUAGACGGUAGGCUGGAAAAGAAUUCUCACUGUGGAUAACAUCCAGAGGAGCGCUUUUCCUAGUAUAUGUUCAUUGUGUAUGUACAACAAGGAGUCAAUUGAUUACCUCUUCAUCCAAUGCCCUUUCAUCUUGAGGAUUUGGGAUUAUUUCCUUUCGAGGUUUCACAUUGAUUGGAUUAUGCCAAAAACUGUAGAAGAGUUGCUUUGGACCUAGCAUGGAGGCGGAGGCGACACGUCUCGAAAAGCUAUAUGCCAUUUGAUAGUCAUGGCUAGAGGUGUACACGAACCGAGCUAGCACGAUUAGCUUUCUCGACUCGACUCGAAAAAGCUCGAUUCGACUCGGUUCGAAGCUGAGUUUGAGCCGAGUCGAGCUGAUUUUUUGAGCUCGAAAAUGAGUUCGAGCUGGCCCUAGCUGGACUCAACUCGGAUCGAACUAGUUCGGUGACUUGGUUACUUUGAUAUUGAUGUUGCUCACCAAGUGUUUGAUGAAAUGACUCAAAGAAGUGUGGCUGUUGGCAAGGAAG